rnacentral:rRNA from 1 species
UACGAAGGGGGCUAGCGUUGCUCGGAAUCACUGGGCGUAAAGGGUGCGUAGGCGGGUCUUUAAGUCAGGGGUGAAAUCCUGGAGCUCAACUCCAGAACUGCCUUUGAUACUGAAGAUCUUGAGUUCGGGGGAGGUGAGUGGAACUGCGAGUGUAGAGGUGAAAUUCGUAGAUAUUCGCAAGAACACCAGUGGCGAAGGCGGCUCACUGGCCCGGAACUGACGCUGAGGCACGAAAGCGUGGGGAGCAAACAGG